rnacentral:rRNA from 1 species
GACACGGCCCAGACUCCUACGGGAGGCAGCAGUGGGGAAUAUUGCGCAAUGGGGGCAACCCUGACGCAGCCAUGCCGCGUGAAUGAAGAAGGCCUUCGGGUUGUAAAGUUCUUUCGGUAGCGAGGAAGGCAUUUAGUUUAAUAGACUAGGUGAUUGACGUUAACUACAGAAGAAGCACCGGCUAACUCCGUGCCAGCAGCCGCGGUAAUACGGAGGGUGCGAGCGUUAAUCGGAAUAACUGGGCGUAAAGGGCACGCAGGCGGUGACUUAAGUGAGGUGUGAAAGCCCCGGGCUUAACCUGGGAAUUGCAUUUCAUACUGGGUCGCUAGAGUACUUUAGGGAGGGGUAGAAUUCCACGUGUAGCGGUGAAAUGCGUAGAGAUGUGGAGGAAUACCGAAGGCGAAGGCAGCCCCUUGGGAAUGUACUGACGCUCAUGUGCGAAAGCGUGGGGAGCAAACAGGAUUAGAUACCCUGGUAGUCCACGCUGUAAACGAUGUCGAUUUGGGGGUUGAACUUUAAGUUUGGCGCCCGUAGCUAACGUGAUAAAUCGACCGCCUGGGGAGUACGGCCGCAAGGUUAAAACUCAAAUGAAUUGACGGGGGCCCGCACAAGCGGUGGAGCAUGUGGUUUAAUUCGAUGCAACGCGAAGAACCUUACCUACUCUUGACAUCCAGAGAACAUUCCAGAGAUGGAUUGGUGCCUUCGGGAACUCUGAGACAGGUGCUGCAUGGCUGUCGUCAGCUCGUGUUGUGAAAUGUUGGGUUAAGUCCCGCAACGAGCGCAACCCUUAUCCUUUGUUGCCAGCGAUUCGGUCGGGAACUCAAAGGAGACUGCCGGUGAUAAACCGGAGGAAG